rnacentral:rRNA from 1 species
GACGAACGCUGGCGGCGUGCCUAAUACAUGCAAGUCGAGCGAACGGACGAGAAGCUUGCUUUUCUGAUGUUAGCGGCGGACGGGUGAGUAACACGUGGAUAACCUACCUAUAAGACUGGGAUAACUUCGGGAAACCGGAGCUAAUACCGGAUAAUAUUUUGAACCGCAUGGUUCAAAAGUGAAAGACGGUCUUGCUGUCACUUAUAGAUGGAUCCGCGCUGCAUUAGCUAGUUGGUAAGGUAACGGCUUACCAAGGCAACGAUGCAUAGCCGGCCUGAGAGGGUGAUCGGCCACACUGGAACUGAGACACGGUCCAGACUCCUACGGGAGGCAGCAGUAGGGAAUCUUCCGCAAUGGGCGAAAGCCUGACGGAGCAACGCCGCGUGAGUGAUGAAGGUCUUCGGAUCGUAAAACUCUGUUAUUAGGGAAGAACAUAUGUGUAAGUAACUGUGCACAUCUUGACGGUACCUAAUCAGAAAGCCACGGCUAACUACGUACCAGCAGCCGCGGUAAUACGUAGGUGGCAAGCGUUAUCCGGAAUUAUUGGGCGUAAAGCGCGCGUAGGCGGUUUUUUAAGUCUGAUGUGAAAGCCCACGGCUCAACCGUGGAGGGUCAUUGGAAACUGGAAAACUUGAGUGCAGAAGAGGAAAGUGGAAUUCCAUGUGUAGCGGUGAAAUGCGCAGAGAUAUGGAGGAACACCAGUGGCGAAGGCGACUUUCUGGUCUGUAACUGACGCUGAUGUGCGAAAGCGUGGGGAUCAAACAGGAUUAGAUACCCUGGUAGUCCACGCCGUAAACGAUGAGUGCUAAGUGUUAGGGGGUUUCCGCCCCUUAGUGCUGCAGCUAACGCAUUAAGCACUCCGCCUGGGGAGUACGACCGCAAGGUUGAAACUCAAAGGAAUUGACGGGGACCCGCACAAGCGGUGGAGCAUGUGGUUUAAUUCGAAGCAACGCGAAGAACCUUACCAAAUCUUGACAUCCUUUGACAACUCUAGAGAUAGAGCCUUCCCCUUCGGGGGACAAAGUGACAGGUGGUGCAUGGUUGUCGUCAGCUCGUGUCGUGAGAUGUUGGGUUAAGUCCCGCAACGAGCGCAACCCUUAAGCUUAGUUGCCAUCAUUAAGUUGGGCACUCUAAGUUGACUGCCGGUGACAAACCGGAGGAAGGUGGGGAUGACGUCAAAUCAUCAUGCCCCUUAUGAUUUGGGCUACACACGUGCUACAAUGGACAAUACAAAGGGCAGCGAAACCGCGAGGUCAAGCAAAUCCCAUAAAGUUGUUCUCAGUUCGGAUUGUAGUCUGCAACUCGACUACAUGAAGCUGGAAUCGCUAGUAAUCGUAGAUCAGCAUGCUACGGUGAAUACGUUCCCGGGUCU